UACGUAGGGUGCAAGCGUUGUCCGGAAUUAUUGGGCGUAAAGAGCUCGUAGGCGGUUUGUCGCGUCGAAUGUGAAAACUCGGGGCUUAACCCCGAGCCUGCAGUGGAUACGGGCAGACUAGAGGUAGGUAGGGGGAGAAUGGAAUUCCCGGUGUAGCGGUGAAAUGCGCAGAUAUCGGGAGGAACACCAGUAGCGAAGGCGGCACUCUGGGCCGGUACUGACGCUGAGAAGCGAAAGCUGGGGAGCGAACAGG
rnacentral:rRNA from 1 species